GAGAUAAUGAAUGUGUUUCGGGGUAAAUUGAUCGCCCCCCGUAAACGACCGGGGCGGAAUACGAAUUCCGGUUCGCCCAAAACAUUUAUUUUCGGGAUGUUGAUAAAACCGCCUAUUAGAUCGGUCGAUUUUUUUUCAAUCCUCGAGACGUGACGUUUUAAAACUGAAUAUUACGGUCCCGCCGACUCUCGAAAACCUGCGGUAACCAGUCGCGCGUACCAUACGAUUAAUGCGAUAACACGAUUACAAUCGAUGUUAACCGGUUCGUCCGAUCGCGCCGUCGAUAACGAUUAUCACUAGGGUGCGGAUUUAAACGCUCGAAAAAAAAAAAAAAAAACAAGAAAAAUGCAAUUCAAUGCGUGUAAAUUAAACGAAACGAUUAAAUGAUAUUGAUUAAAAAAUGUCCU